rnacentral:RNase_P_RNA from 1 species
CCGGCGGGUCGGGCGGCCGCCCCGCACCUGCUUGGUAUUCUUUUAAGAAUUGAAACAGAUUUUAAGAGAAUAUGGAGCAGGUGCGGGGAGGAAAGUCCGGGCAGGACAGGGCGCGGUGAUGGCUAACAGCCACCGUAUUUGAGAUUUCAAAUUUGAAAUUUCAGAUAAAGGGAAAGUGCCACAGAAAAUACACCGCCCCGCACCUACUUGGUAUUCUUUUGAGAAUUGAAACAGCUUUUAAGAGAAUAUGGAGUAGGUGCGGGGUAAGGGUGAAAAGGUGUUCAUCCUGCGUAGCUUUGCGGCAAAGCAGAAUGAAUCCUGCACAGUUUGCGAAAGUAAGCGAAGCAGGACGGUAAGAGCGCACCGCGAUUUUGGCGACAGAAUCGGCAAGGCAAACCCCACCGCCUGCAAGACCAAGUAUGCCGGUAUGCUCUGCCCGAGCGUUACUCCGGCGGGUAGGUCGCUUGAGGUCGCCAGUAAUGGCGAACCCCAGAGAAAUGGUCGCAUCCCGCACCUGCUUUGUAUUCUUGUUUUUAUAAGGCGUCUGUUAUGCUUUGUGGUCGGCAUCGGACAGAUGUUAAACUUAUGACAAGAAUAUUAGGCAGGUGCGGGAACAGAACCCGGCUUAUAGACCCGGCGGACAA